UACGUAGGUGGCAAGCGUUGUCCGGAUUUACUGGGCGUAAAGAGCGCGCAGGCGGUCGUUUAAGUCGAAUGUGAAAGCCCCCGGCUCAACUGGGGAGGGGCAUUCGAUACUGAUCGACUUGAAGGCAGGAGAGAGAAGUGGAAUUCCCGGUGUAGUGGUGAAAUGCGUAGAUAUCGGGAGGAACACCUGUGGCGAAGGCGGCUCACUGGACCACAACUGACGCUGAGGCGCGAAAGCUAGGGGAGCAAACAGG
rnacentral:rRNA from 1 species